rnacentral:rRNA from 1 species
UUCGCCCUUAGAGUUUGAUCCUGGCUCAGGACGAACGCUGGCGGCGCGCCUAACACAUGCAAGUCGAACGAGCGAGAGAGAGCUUGCUUUCUCGAGCGAGUGGCGAACGGGUGAGUAACGCGUGAGGAACCUGCCUCAAAGAGGGGGACAACAGUUGGAAACGACUGCUAAUACCGCAUAAGCCCACGGCUCGGCAUCGAGCAGAGGGAAAAGGAGCAAUCCGCUUUGAGAUGGCCUCGCGUCCGAUUAGCUAGUUGGUGAGGUAAUGGCCCACCAAGGCGACGAUCGGUAGCCGGACUGAGAGGUUGAACGGCCACAUUGGGACUGAGACACGGCCCAGACUCCUACGGGAGGCAGCAGUGGGGAAUAUUGCACAAUGGGGGAAACCCUGAUGCAGCGACGCCGCGUGGAGGAAGAAGGUCUUCGGAUUGUAAACUCCUGUUGUUGAGGAAGAUAAUGACGGUACUCAACAAGGAAGUGACGGCUAACUACGUGCCAGCAGCCGCGGUAAAACGUAGGUCACAAGCGUUGUCCGGAAUUACUGGGUGUAAAGGGAGCGCAGGCGGGAAGACAAGUUGGAAGUGAAAUCCAUGGGCUCAACCCAUGAACUGCUUUCAAAACUGUUUUUCUUGAGUAGUGCAGAGGUAGGCGGAAUUCCCGGUGUAGCGGUGGAAUGCGUAGAUAUCGGGAGGAACACCAGUGGCGAAGGCGGCCUACUGGGCACCAACUGACGCUGAGGCUCGAAAGUGUGGGUAGCAAACAGGAUUAGAUACCCUGGUAGUCCACACUGUAAACGAUGAUUACUAGGUGUUGGAGGUUUGUCCCCUUCAGUGCCGCAGUUAACACAAUUAAGUAAUCCACCUGGGGAGUGCGACCGCAAGGUUGAAACUCAAAGGAAUGGACGGGGGCCCGCACAAGCAGUGGAGUAUGUGGUUUAAUUUGACGCAACGCGAAGAACCUUACCAAGUCUUGACAUCCUGCGACGGUAUAAUGGAAACAGAACUUUCCUUCGGGACGCAGAGACAGGUGGUGCAUGGUUGUCGUCAGCUCGUGUCGUGAGAUGUUGGGUUAAGUCCCGCAACGAGCGCAACCCCUAUUGUUAGUUGCUACGAAAGAGCACUCUAGCGAGACUGCCGUUGACAAAACGGAGGAAGGCGGGGACGACGUCAAAUCAUCAUGCCCCUUAUGUCCUGGGCUACACACGUAAUACAAUGGUGGCCAACAGAGGGAAGCGAAGCCGCGAGGUGGAGCAAAUCCCCAAAAGCCAUCUCAGUUCGGAUUGCAGGCUGCAACUCGCCUGCAUGAAGCUGGAAUUGCUAGUAAUCGCGGAUCAGCAUGCAGCGGUGAAUACGUUCCCGGGCCUUGCACUCACCGCCCGUCA